rnacentral:rRNA from 1 species
CGUCCAGACUCCUACGGGAGGCAGCAGUGGGGAAUCUUCCGCAAUGGGCGGAAGCCUGACGGAGCAACGCCGCGUGAUCGAAUGAAGGCCUUCGGGUUGUAAAGAUCUGUUGACAGGGACGAAUAAGCAAUGCGAAUAGUUUUGUGUAUGACGGUACCUGUUUAGAAAGCUCCGGCUAACUACGUGCCAGCAGCCGCGGUAAUACGUAGGGAGCAAGCGUUGUCCGGAAUUACUGGGUGUAAAGGGAGCGUAGACGGCGUCGCAAGUCUGAAGUGAAAGCCCGUGGCUCAACCGCGGAACCGCUUUGGAAACUGCGAGGCUGGAGUGCUGGAGAGGUAAGCGGAAUUCCUGGUGUAGCGGUGAAAUGCGUAGAUAUCAGGAGGAACACCGGUGGCGAAGGCGGCUUACUGGACGGUGACUGACGUUGAGGCUCGAAAGCGUGGGGAGCGAACAGGAUUAGAUACCCUUGUA